UCCAGCCAGUCAGACGCCAGCAGAGACGAGCGCGAGCCCUCUUUGCUUUGUAAUCUGUCCGGUCGUCUACGGCAGGCUGAACGCUGCACGCGCUGUGUUUCCAGACAAGCAAGGAAUCAGGAUCCCGAGAAACACGGAGAGGACGUAAACUCAGAAGAUACAGCUAGUGGACUAAUUACUAUGAUUAAUAUCUGGACAACUAGUAACUUACAAAUGAUUCCCGUGGAGCCAGCUCACUGAAUGACAAAUAUCCCGUUUUACAUCUUGAAGUGGCAGCGCGAUAUCUGAGCUUUCUUCAAGAAGGGACCCUGGUUUGAUAUAGGGAUGUAUCGGUCCUGGGAUAGCAUGUAGGGGACAUUAUCAUCUUGGAGAAGUAGAGGCUAGCGCCACUUCUCACUUUAAUGCUGACAACCGAACCCCGGCCGGCUGCUGUGACGCUUUUUGGUUUGGUUGAGUUUAAAGACUCAAACUCGACAAUAUUACUCUGUGGGCAGACAAACUUUGUCUGUGUUCGGAAAAUGUUGACAGCCCAUGCCAAGUUAUUUUUUAUUCAGUUCUGUAACUAAUACAAUACGAUUCUGACCCCUAUGGUUGCUUUGGAAACGUAUGUAAAACAGUGACUGCCAGAGCUGUUUUAGAACUGUUCAAAUUUACAUUACUGGUCAGUGUGACUGCAUUUGGAAUUUUGAUUUUGCUCCUGAAAGCUGCCAUCCUGUUUAAGUGCUGUUCCCAUUAUUUUGUCCAGCAGCUGCAGCUCCACUGCAGCCUAUCUGUGCUCAGUGUGUGUAUCAGUGUGGGUUAUUCACAGUGCUGCUAUGUAGACUGACUGGAGCCACGCUCAGACAGCUCGACUGUAACCCCAAUUCAAAGGCACAGGCCUGGACUGCUCACACAGAAAGAAUCCUUUACAGCUGAGGAAAGCUUCCUGCAAAUCUUGAUCCAGAGGGACGACUUGUGCGGAAUAGCAGAUGUUACACAGCUUUGUGUACUAAUAUGGAUUAUUCAGGAUGCUGCUCUGCAGACAGAGUGGAGCCACAGAAAAUCUGCUGGUGAAGUUAGAGUAACUCACAUGGUUGUGCAGCUUCCUUUAGUGCAGUUAAACAUAUUGUGUUACACUGUUGGCAGCUGGAAGUUUGUCAGAAAAAGCUUUGUGUAUUACAACAAAACUCAUACUGGUAAAUAUGUGUUCAUUAUGAGUUGGAAAGUUUAACAGACUGGGACCAAAAUUUGUAUCUGAAAAACAAAAGUCCCCUUUUACUUUUUUUUUACAGUAAUUAAGCAAAUGUUUUCAGCAGGUGAAAGUUUUGAAAGAUGACACUCCCAAAGGGGGGACAGUUUUGAAAGAUUUGCUUGACUUGCAUUUUCUGUAGUUGAAAUUAGAUUUGUUUUUAAUAUAUUUUCACUAGCUUUUUAGUUAAACUAGGCUAAUUGUUGGAAAAUGAAGAACCCUCAUCCACUAAGUAAUACCUGGAAUAGAUCCAUUAACAAAGAACCGGUACUGAUCUCUGUGCCAGGUACUAACAAGAAGUUCAAGAGGAAGUCUCGGGAGCCUAAAAGGCUUUUCAGCGGCCCUGAGCCUGAGAGGAUAAAAACCUACCCAGCGAACAAGUCGGAUGUAGACUCAGUAGAUGGCACCCAGACAGAGGCAUGUAAUGUCAAUAGCUUGUCUACACUACAGAGACAGCUGAUGAUGUCACAGGAAGGGAUGGCCAGUACUACAGGGAUUCUGUCAGAACUACCAGAAGGCAACAUAGCUCCAGUUCAGAGUGGUGCCAUAGACAUGAGAAUUGGCAUUAACGUGCCUGCCAUCACUUCCAAAGUGUCCCAGUUACCCGCCUCUCAAUUUUCUAACUCUGAGAUCUCCCAUUGGCCCACAGCCAUCUCCCAGCCUCUUUCCAACAGACUCAAACUGGGCCUCCGAUCCAUCCCUCUGUCAACAUCAACCAACAGCAGCCACAGCCAUUCACACAGCCACCAAGCCUUCUCCAUGGAGCCCUCUUUGUCAGGCCAAACUGCAGCUCUGACUGUCCCCAGAGCCUCCCAGACCUCCCAGUGUCACGAACACGUGGAGCCCCAGGUCCAGUCACCCAAGGAGUCUCCCAAAAAGCGGGUUGUGGUGAGUGCUGAUGGACCUGGGCAUCUCCCGGAGGUCAAAGCCAUCCAGCAGACCAGGAGGCUUCUAGCCAAUGCCAGAGAGAGGACCCGUGUCCACACCAUCAGUGCUGCGUUUGAGGCCCUAAGGAAGCAGGUGCCAUGUUACUCCUAUGGGCAGAAGCUAUCCAAGCUGGCAAUAUUACGUAUAGCCUGCAACUACAUCCUGUCUCUUGCUCAAUUGGCUGAACUGGACUACAGUUCAGACCACAGCAGUCUGAGCUUCUCUCAGUGUGUGGAGCAGUGUACCAGGACCCUGCAGGCUGAGGGUAGGAGCAAGAAGAGGAAGUCCCAGACACCAGAUGUUUAGAGUGGAAGGGAAGUGGAGCUGGCGCCAUGAAGGGCAGAGGGCAGCGAGAAGGAGUGAGGCUGAUUGCAGUGGACAGGUCCUACAUAUGAGGACAAAGCUAUGAGGAUGCAGAAUACUGGGAGGAAGCAGAUAAAUGGAAGAUUGGAUGAAUUAUAAUUUUUGAUUGCUUUCACCACUUACACACUUAACAUCAACACUUAACUGAUGUGGAUUGUGAAAGUUUUGUAAAUCAGGGCCCACGAACACCAACUGACCCUUUGCAAUAACCUCCACUAAACUAUGCAUACAGUUAAACACAUUACAUUACUGUGCUCCAAUUUUGUAUUGGAGCGACUGUUACCUUGUCAAUACCAUGUUUAAGUAUGUAUUUCCUGGCAACAUGAAGCUCGUCUGGUCACAGGAUCUUGUGUAAAGUUUUAAAACAAACGUCAGUUUAAUGAGAAUAAAUCAUUUGAACUCAAACUGCAGACAUUCAGAACAUUCACUGCAGUUAAAGCCGCUCAUUCAUUAAUAGUAGAUGUUUUAUAGUUUAUAAACCUGUUAUAUUUCAAAAUAUGCCAAUUAUGUUUCUCCAAUACAAAUAAAAAUAUUUGAAAAAAUAUUACCCCCAAUGUGAUUUUUCACAAACAUGCUGAUACGAUAGACCUACUACACAUUGUAUUUC